CCGCACGUAGCAUAAUUGGAUAAUGCAUCAGAUUCCGAUUCUGACGACUGGGGGUUCAAAUCCCUUCGUGCGGGCCA
rnacentral:tRNA from 1 species